GAGUCGAAUCCUCAGACCGUGUCUCUUGUACAAUUUGUUGUGUACUCCAACUGUCAGUUCGGCCGUGAACUGCGUGAGGAAUCGAUGCAAAGAAAAUACCGUUGCUUCGCGAGUGUAUAAACCCCAUAGUAUUACAAAAUUCAUACAGAAUUCCACUUUGCCUGUCUUGCCUAUAGUAAAUUUGUGUUUUUGAUUUGAUUUUAAGUCCCGUUUCAUUCUGUGAAUGUCCUUUUUGGAAAAUAAAAUUCAGAAAAAUUUUUUCAGUUAUCUUGUUUUUUCCUUCCUAAUCCUGGGUGCGGUGUGUUAGUGGAAAAAAAAUAAAAAAGAGGAAUACAAAAUAUUGGGGAAAAAUACACCCAGUUCCAUAUAAAAAGAAAAAAUAAGAAAUCAAAAUAAAAAUAAAAA